CCUGUGGUCUCCUUCUUUGGUCUUAUGCCUUUUCUUCUUAGAAGAUGCAGUGUAAGAAGCAUUUCUACCAUCUUGAGCAGAAUGAUGGCAGGGACAGAAAACAUUGGAGUGAAUUGACUCCUCGGUGGAAAGACUCUGAACCUUGAACAAGAUGAAAGAAAAAGGUGUGCAAGCAGGUGGAAGAAAUGGUGCUCUGGAGGUCAAGGCUGAACCGUGUUUGAGAGCCAAGAUUGAGGACAGAGAGGACCUCAGCUGUGAAGACCGGGAGGGGUCCUCCGUCUCCCCCUCCCCAACCCAUGAUUGUCGCUAGGAGAUCCCUGUACAAGAAUGGCAUGCUGUGUCCCCAGACACCUUUCUGUAUAUCUUUUGUUUUUUUAACUCUCCAGGGAUAAGGUUUUUUUUUUUUUUUUUUUUUAAAUUCUCUUUGUACCAAAUUACAGUUUAUAUCGUUCUGGUUACUAAAACAAGAAGAUAGAAUUUACUAGAGAUAGCUGGUGAGUCCAAAUCUUAGGUCCCAGUGGGCUACCUCUCCUUUGGUAAAUUACUAAUUGCCAAGCAUUCUGUUUUCUGCAGAUUGGUUUGUUUCAUAAAUAUUUAAUGAAAUACUGGAAGCUGUCUUGGUCAGCGAAGUGAAACCUUAGGACUGAUCUCAGAUUUUCUGUUGGCCAUGUUGACCUGGAUGUUCACAAUGCACUCAUAAUUGACAAGGCUGAAGAUGAUCUCAACCAUCAUCCACACACGUACCUUUCACACCCCCUUUCUCUUGGUGAUUGGCAACAUCCUCCAUAAUUGUCUAUCACAGCACCUGGGAGUCACCACCACACAUACUCUACUCUCCUAAUAUUCUGUAGGCCAGCAACUCCUGCACAGCUCUGGAAACUGUCACCUGCUCCUUAGUCCCUCUGCUACUCCCUUUAUUCAGGAUUCUCUUGGGUUAAGAUUUCUAGUGAGGGGAGGAAAAACAGCUUUAAAUAAUAUAGAUCAACCCAGAGUCUCUAGCUACUCAGAAUAUUGUAGCAGGAGGACCACAAGUCCAAGGCCAGACUGGAUUAUAUAACAAAACAUUAUCUCAAAAAAAUCUGGGGUUGUAGCUCAGUGGCAGAGCAUUUGCCUAGGAAGUGCAAGACCCUAGUUGUCUCCAGUACUAUCACCAAAAACCAAACCAAAAACCCCAAAGUCACUUUCUAUAAUACUUCAUUCCCAAAUCCUAGUCCAUUCCUGAAGAUAGACUAAUUAUUAGAGUUCCAUAUGUGGCUUUUCUUAAUAUUUAUAUGCAUUUCAGAUAUAAAAAUAUACAUACAGAAAUACAUAAUUUACUCACAUAAGUAGCCUACAUAAAAUAGUCUGUCUUGAUUUUACUCAGCAAAUAUUUUGAAGGUGUUUGCAUAUCAGCAUAAAUAAACUUGUUUUAACCUGUAAAGUGUACAGUGUGGAGAACAUCUGUUAUUUUGCCAAUGUUUUGAUAAACCAGCUCCCGAGGAUGUCCAUGUGGCUUCUCUCUUCCUUUCAGGAGUAUGAUGUCACACAAAUGGCCUAGGAAUGGGUCAGUGCCCCAACCUGGGCCAAUAAAUGUCAUAGCUGAGACUUCUGCUGGUUGUGAGUCUGGAAUGUUUCAGGAGCUUCUGGAACAUCACUUACAGCAAUCUUCCUCAGUGAAUAUCCUGGAACAUGGUUUCAUCUUACAAUCUGAUUCUUAUGUUUCUCAUAUUUUUAAGGACUCUUUACAAUUUCUGGAGAGCAUUAUUUGUUGCUUUACUAAUCUGUUUUGGAUUUCUAAUUAUAACUCUGCUGUCACUUAUGUUAUAUGAUAUCUUGCACAUAGCCUUGUACUUACCUAUUUGCUUAUCUCUGGACUGGAGUCUUCACAGACAGACAAUAACUAAUUAUCUGUCUGUUGGUAUUUGGGUCAUUCCUAAAUGCUUAUUGUGUAACUAACUAAAUAAAAAGUUAAUCUUGGGCCAGGGAUUUAGCUCAGUGGCACAAGUGCUUGCCUGGCAAGUACAAGGUCAUGAGUUUGAUUCCCCAGUACCCCCUUCCCCCAAAAGUAAAAAUAAGUUAGCCUUAAUUUACUUUCUCUGGAUGGUUCAAAAGACUAAUCUGAAGUGGAUUUGUAAACAAUAUAGGAAUCCAAGCAGCCAAAUUAAUAAAUUUGGAAUUUUAUUAGCUGAGCUCAGUGAUCACCUGUGGACCUCUGUUUCAGAGUCCAAACAAGCGGCACUGAACUGAAGAGUCACAGGGCAUUUAAAGCAAAAAACAACAAACCAAGACAUCCUGUUGGAAACAAUUUAGCUAGAAUCUUACAUUAAUUUUGGUAGACAACUGUAUCCUGCUUCUUUGUUGAGCAGGUUAAUUUUUCUCUCUUGUGUGUGCAGCUCAUUCAUUUUGCUUUUCCCGUGGAACUUGUACCCUGAGUAAUUUUUCACUCUUCUGGAUCAAACACAGGGUACGAGUUAAAUACAGGGCACACGAUGGCAUCAGUUAUGCUAAGCUACAAGAUAUACUGCUUUUUAAAGUACAGUGCUUUUGUAUUACUGUGUCAUGGAUUCAAUUGUUGUUUAUCAAAUAAAUUUGCUCCUUCUAUCAGAA